CAUCACUAUUCUAUAACCUAGCUUCUCUGCAUCUAUUCAAUGAGACGUAUGAUGUAAAUUGUGGAAGCUACAUGCAAAGCUUUGAUGUUUUAGACCAAAAGUCAUGCAGCUUAUCACUACUUACAAGACGAACGAAUUAUACUCCAUUUGACCAAAUGGAUGACUUUAAACAAUGCAGUCAUUUGAAGUCACCACAGCUUACUACCUUCCGUUAUUGGAAUAUUACACACUUUAAAAGGCCGGCCUAUAAAUUGGCCAGACUACAUAUUGCGCCAAAAAAUGAUGACAAAUUGGAGUGCACUAUUUCAAAUUAUCUUUAAUGCUGGCCUGCGACUCAAAACACAGUCACUACUACAAGACUGAAUAAUCAUCAGAUCAACCAAGAUGAGAGAGAAACAGAAGAGGAGCACAAGUCGUACACUAUAAUAUAUAAGGACAGCCCUGCCACAACAGUUUUAUUCAUUAUUAUUGCUGUUUUGUUGGUUAUCAAAGUUUUCGGGAAUAAGAUACUACAUUGUUUCAGCCAAGGAGGCAAUACAGUAAAUGCUCCCAGGGAUAACCACGCUUUACGAGGUAGGUUAAACCCCGAAGACGAACAGAUGAUACAAAACAACUAUGUUUACUUAAGAGAAGAGAUUGAGCCUCUGGACAUCAUAGCUUACCUCUUCCACGAAAAGGUUCUAGAUCGAGAUGACCUGGAAGUGAUAAGGAACACGUUGACCAGAACGGAGCGCGCCGACACUUUGCUACGUCUGCUUCUCAAUGCAGGUCCUGGCAACGCCUUUGCCGUCUUUAUGAGAGCUCUAGAGAACCGGUAUGGCCAUGUUGUAAGACACAUCAGAAACAAUGGCUAGUAAAAUUCUUCGGAUAAAGUAGUUUUAAGUAAUAUCUUUUGUAGGGUUAGGGUUCACUCAUAGUUUGGGUUAGGGUUUGGAAAAAAAUUCGCCCCCCCUCGAGAAUACUGGAUUGGCUAGUGACCUACACAAGUAACAAGUAGAAACAGUCAAAACCGCUGAUAUUCAGAUGACGUUUACUAUUGAAAAGGCCACGUCCGUAGUAUAACAAUAUCCCUAUGAAGUCCAAACACUAACUGACUAUCUUUACAUAAAAAAUCUAUAACCCAACUAAGUCGUGACGUCACUAAAUGUCUAGUUCAAAGCCUGUCAACUAUGGUGCGUCUCUAUACAUACUAAUAAUACCAAGUGUCUAACAAUGUCUAAGUAUUUCAUUUGUGGUUUUGUUUUUCGAUUUGUAAAUGAGGGUUUAGUGUUUAAUGUAUUAUAGCUACUUUUUAUUCUUCUGAUCUGAAGUGUCUCUAAACUUUAGUGAUUUUACAAAUAGUGUUACUCCAAUCAAAUUUGAAUAUUCGUUUGUUAUAAAUCUCAUGGAUCUAGUUUGUAUGUGUUCCAGUUUCUUAAUGUCUAUGGAGUUGAGAGUUUAAAACAGAGGAUGCAUAUUCUAAUAUUUGCCUAACUAAAGUUGAGUAGAUUUUUAGUUGUAUGUUUUUCGUUGGACUGUAAAAAUUUCUUUGAAUAAAUCCUAAUGUAUUA